UAUUCCGUAGCUAAGUUGGUAAAGCGCUCGUCUAGCAUACAAGAGUCCUGGGUUCAAAUCACAGUCGAACAC
rfam:Aedes aegypti strain Liverpool supercont1.29 genomic scaffold, whole genome shotgun sequence.